rnacentral:lncRNA from 1 species
UUCAGAAUUAUUAGUAUUGUUAACAGGUUUGAAAGUCUUCCCUUUGUCAGGCCCCAACACUUCAUCAUAAGUGGUAACAGCCAUGAUGAUGGGUGUACCAUAAUUGACAUUCUCAAUCAAGAUAGCUGCAGGCUCAUAUGAAUCAUUUUCCACACUGAUAGAAGCCUUAGAUUGUGCAACUUGUUCCAAACUAACUAUCUCCUUAGAUACCCUAUCAACAAUUUCCGCACUCUCCAACAAAGUAACAUUAGAAAUGUGAUUAGGAUCCUUGUUAGCUGACCUUACCUCCCCUGAAGGAAGUUCACCAUCUUCAAGUAGCAGGUCAAAAGAGUUGUGAAGAGGCGGUGUUGAAGAGUUACCACUCUUCUAGGUUGCUGCAAUGUCAGCCACAUCCACAACACAUCCUUCCUUAGAUGGCCCCUCAUG